GACGAACCGUGCGAACGUUGUUCGGAAUCACUGGGCUUAAAGGGCGCGUAGGCGGGCCAUCAAGUCAGGGGUGAAAUCCUCCAGCUCAACUGGAGAACAGCUUUUGAUACUGGUGGCCUCGAGUGGGGUAGGGGCAUGUGGAACUUCCGGUGGAGCGGUGAAAUGCGUAGAUAUCGGAAGGAACGCCGGUGGCGAAAGCGACGUACUGGGUCUUUUCUGACGCUGAGGCACGAAAGCGUGGGGAGCAAACAGG
rnacentral:rRNA from 1 species